AUCGAGAAAUAUAAUUGUAUUAAAAAAAUAUAUAUCUAUUUUUUUGAAUCAAUAAUUAGUUUGCUUUAUGCAAGGAUUAUCAAUGAUUGAUAAAUAUCUAUUUCUCAUAAUUCAAGGUAUGUUAAAACAUUAUAAAGAGGAUUUAAAAAGUUAGAAAUUAACACGAUAUUUUUAACAGCCCUCAGUUUCGAUAACGGUGUUUCUAGAAACCGAGUUUAAAUUGCUGAGUAUGGACGAUUUUGUGGCUUGAUAAAAGACGAGGUAUCCUUGAUAUUUCUUGAAAAUCAUUUUCAUGGGGAAAAAUAUUUAUUUUUAUGAUAUUCAAAGAAAUAUAAGAUUUUAAGGUUAACGAUCUCUAGAAAUAUUUUCCUAACCUUAACAAUUCUCAAGUUCAAAUAACAGAUCUGCUAAUCUAAAAAUAAAAUUAGAUGAGGCGUAGUAAAGUUAUAGCAAAUACACGAUUUUAUUAUCUGGCAAUUUGUAACUUGUUGAUUUACACGCAUGGUAAUGACUGUUCCUCAACACGAUGAUAAUUACUUCACACUAUGUCACAACUAUGUAACGAAUAAGCUAUGUUCCGGGUUAUUAUUCACCGUAGAAUCAUUCAAAUAUCAUUCUCUGAAAUAUGCAAAUGCAAUUCAUCGAAUAUUUUUAAAAAAUGAACCGAAAUUUGACACGCAAGAACGAAAGUUUAAAAGUUGUAUGAUAAUUUUGUAUGAUUUAUAAUCUAAUGACAUAGUAAUAAAGUAAAGCCACAAAACUGC